GAAGGUGGGAGGGUGUGUCAGGAGUUCUGAUCGCCGGCUGCUGGAAGCACCUCCCUGGCGGUGUAAUGCCUGAUGCGAGGAGAUUGAGAGGACAGAGACGAGUUCCUCGAAGAGGGUGGGCAAGAGUAACGGACACAAAAGUGGAGAUGAGAGAACCAGUAACCAUCUUGUGAUAAUAUAUCAACUCUACUAUCAGAAGCUAUUUGUCAAGAGACCCAAUAGAAAUACGGAAAGCCUCUGAGUAUCUAAUGACCUGUCCUACCAGCCCAGGUCACCUAACAAUGUCCUUCUCUGUGAUGGGGAAAAAAUGACCCUACUUCUUGUUCAAUCCAUCAAACUUAUUACAUUAUGUUGAGUCUUACUAGCAGCCGAAAGUAAUUCCUCCUAUUACCAGCUGGCCUCAGAGGCUUCACCAGUGCUUCUCCUAGCAGUCCAAGAAGUCAUCAUCCUCAGGGGCAUAGGAAAAUCCCAGGAAUGCACUUGAGGCCCCUGAGCUGCUAGCCAUAGUAUCAGGGGUGCAGCCAAUAGACUUGGAGACUGCUUCUUGGGUGAACUCUGGGUCAAAGUGUUUCAAGUCAGCAGGUCCUGCCUGUCAACAGAAGCCAAUGAUGAGGAGAGGGCACUGGGAUCAGAGCUGCCAAAGGAACCGAAAGCCCAGGAGAGGGAUGCCAGGCCUCCCCUCAGUACCUCUUGGUGAUCCACACUUAACUGUCACUUUCCCAUGCAUCUCCAUUAAUCAUCUUAUUCCACGUGGCUGAUUUCUCUAACCCCCAGGCACCCUGCCUGCUCUACACCAAUCCUCAGACAAGUCUGUCAGUUAACCUAUAUUCACUGAAUGCUUGCCAGGCAUUGUUUAUGACACUGGAAAUAAGGGAGAACAAAAUAGAGUGAGCCUCUGCUUAUAGGAACUUGCAGUAUGUGGAGGGUAGGAGGAUUGAACAAAGCAUUUACACAAGUAGAACGUUCAGGGUCCCAGAUGGAGGAGAUAAAAGAGGGUAAUAUGGUAGAGAGGGACUGGGGCUGCUCUAACUAUUUUGCAGGAAGAGCCAUUUGAGUAAUUGUAAAAAUGAUCACAAAUUCUCCAUUUACCAUCCAGAGGUGGAGGUUCUCUAUCUUUUAAAUAUGGGUUAGCCACGUGACUUGCUUAUGCCAAUGGAACACUGACAAAUGAUUCGAGUGGAGGCUUGAAAAAAUGUGCCUUGGGAAUCAAGGUGAGAGGCUGCAGGAAGGAGAACCCAGGUGCCCUGGCAGCCUGCCAACUCCCAGACACACGAGGCAGUUCUAGAUCAAUUGACUGCUGACCACAGAUAUGAGAGAGCUCUACAGAGAAUAACUGGCCUGGCCCAGAUUUAAAAACACUAGCCAACCCAUGGAAUAUGAACAAGAUAAAAUAUUGUUGUUUAGGGCUGCGGGUAUAGCUCAGUGGUAGAGCACUUUCUUGGUAUGUGUGAGGCCCUGGGUUCAAUCUCCAGCACCCCAUAAGAAAAGAAUAUUAUUUGAAGACACCUACUUUUGGGGUGACUUGCUAUGCAGUUAGAACUAACAAAUACAGUCUGCAGAGGUGACCCAGUCAGAGGAGAAGAUAACACCCUCUGGAUGUUAUGAAGUAAGCAGGUGAGCAAGUGGAGGGGUCUGCAGAUCUACUUUCACGUGUAAGUCUUGGGCUCUGCAAAUAAACAUGCCAUACCUUCCAACUUCUCAAAAAGGUCACAGGCCAUAUGCAGUGGCACAUACCUAUAAUCCCAGCUACUUGGGAGGCUGAGGCAGGGGAAUCACAAGUUCAAGGGCAGCCUGGGUAAAUUAGCAAGACCCUGUCUCAAAAUAGAAAGGGUUGGGAGGUACUGGGGUUGUGACUCAGUGGUAAAGCGCUUGCCUUGCACAUGUGAGGCACUGAGUUCAAUCCUCAGCCCCUCAUAAAAAUAAAUAAAGGUAUUGUGCCCAUCUACAACUAAAAAAAAAUUUUUUUUUAAAGGAUUGGGAAUGUAGCUCAGUGGUAGAGUGUCCUUGGGCUCAAUCCCCAGUACAAAAAAAAAAAAAAGAAAGCCAUAGGGCUCAGAGCUCCAAGACCAGAAUGUGGAUCCUAGCUCUGGCCCUUGUUAGCCCUGUAGCCCAAGAUAAGCAGAUAUUUUCUGUUUUUCACAAAUGAAGAAUUUGAUGCCAAAGAAAAUUCUUCAAGGUCUCACGAGUGGUAGGUAGCAGAACCAGGAAUCCAUUUCCAGUACGUCUCACUCUGAUGUCCCUGUAUUGCUACAUCAUUUUGCAUUCCUUUCUAGAAUUCUGUGUAUCGUUCUCUAAGGUAUAUGGGUGAUAUCAUUCUUACUGUUAAAAUCCCAAGGAAAGAGCGCUGGAGGUUAGCAAAGGACUCUGGUAGAGAGCAUGGCUAGCUUGUGUGAGGCCCUGGAUUGAACCCCAGCACCACAAAGUUAGAAAAAUCCAAAGGGGAAAAGAAAAAAAAAAACUUUUCAAGUGCUGAACUGAAUGUAUCCUAUAUGACAACCAUUGUUAAGAAUUUGGUGCUCGAAGACACAUUCAUGAACAGGUACCAAAGAGAAAAAGUAAAUAAUGAACUAACAUUGGCUGUAUUCAGUAUGCAGCCUGGUAGAGAAAGUGGGACCCUGUGCUGCACAGGUGACGCAGAGAACCUCCCUCAUCCACCUCGAACACAGCUCCUUUCAGUCAUGGGACCACCAUAAGUUACAUUUAAACGCUCGACACCUCCACUGCGGAUCAAAGAAACAUGAUUAAAACACUAAGAGAUGCCACUUUUUAUCAGAUUUGCAAAGUGAUAAAGAGUUAAGAACAGCAUGCUGCAGAGGGUGAGGAAGAUGAAAACCCACCAGAAGACAGAACAGGAGGAAGAAGAUAGUUCUCCCUUGUGCGUGGUGAAUAGGCGAGUGCAAACCAAGGGCCUGGAAAUGGUGGUGGUCUUUAACUGUGCAGUUACCCUUCUGAAACCCACCUUCAGAAAAUAACCAGAAUUCUGGGCAAAGAUACGAUGUUCAUCAGCACAUUAUGAAAGAAAAAAAUGAUGUUAUAGUUUGGAUGUGAAGUGUCCCUCAAAAGCUCUCAUGUGAGACAAUACAAGAAGGUUCCGAGAAGAAAUGAUUGGGUUACCAGAACCUUAACCCAGUCAGUGACUUAAUCACGUGAUGGGAUCAAUUGAGUGGUAACUGAAGGCUGGUAGGGUGUGGCUGGAGGAGGUGGGGCAUUGGGGGCGAGGCUUGGGGGAUGCAUUUGGAUCUGGCAAGUGGUGUCUCUCUGCUUUCUGAUCAUCAUGUGAGCUGCUUCCCUCCACUACACUCUUCUGCCAUAUGAUGCUCUGCCUCACCUUGAGCCCCAAGGAAUGGAGCCUGCUGUCUGUGGAUUGAGACCUCUGAAACCACAAUUCCCCAAGUAAACUUUUCCUCCUCUAAA